CAAUUCUUCUUAUUCAGAGUUAUGUGUUAUCUAAGUAGUUGUGUUGCAAUUUUCGCUUAGAGCCUAUAACAAUGUUUUCAACAUUUCUUUCAAUCUUGCUUUUAAACGCUCUUUUGAAAAUCUCUCUACACUCGAGAGGGUGUGAUUGUGAUAGUUGGUAUUAGAGGCUAAUUGGCUCCAAACAACAUUUCUUCAUGUCCAUGACCAAGAAAUUAAGCAAGUCAUUACUUGGACGAACAUGUCAAGGAACUAGCCGUCAAGAUUGACACGAUCAAUGCAAUUUCUAGUCGUGUGCAUGGGGUGCCCAUUCAACAACUGAUACAUAAGGUGGAAAACCUUGAAGAAAAAACCACGAAGAUUAGCGCCGAAAUGACUCCCAGAAAGGAUUCAUCCAUGUGGUCGGAACUUUCUGAAGACGUCAAGAAAACACUUGUCUCAUGGGUAGCGCCGAAAUGACCGAUUUGGGUACUAGAUUGAACCUAACUACGAGAGCGGUGGGGAACCAUGCCCCUACAUGAGGGUCAAUGCAGUUUUAUAAGGGAAAGAUGUCGGAACCCAAACCCUUCUGUGGGGGUUCAAGAUGCCAAAACCCUAAAGAAUUUUAUCUUCUACCUCAAACAAUACUUUCAAGCAACAAACAUGGUGCCAGAGGAAGCCAAAGUCACGCUAGCCAUAACACCUAGCUGAGGAUGCAAAAUUGUGGUGGAGGUCGAAAUACGAGAACAUCAUACAUGGUCGGUGCACCGUAGACAUGUGGGAAAUGUUGAAACAAGAACUAUGUUACCAAUUCUUUUUGGAGAAUGUAAGAUCCUCACCAGGAAAAAACUAAGAGAACUAAAACAAAUAAGGAAACAUUCAAGAAUAUGUCAAACAAUUUUCAGUGUUGAUGUUGGGUAUUUGCGACAUGUCCAAAAAAGAUAAAAUCUUCUAUUUUGUCGAGGGAUUGAAGCCCUGGGCAAAAUCCAAGCUAUACGAGCAACUAGUUCAAGAACUUUUCAUAGCCUAUAUUGCGGCAGAACAACUGUUAAACCCAAGCACUGAAUCAGCCUAUAUUGCGGCAGAACAACUGUUAAACCCAAGCACUGAACAGUCUCAUGAUGUAAAACCUAAGCACUGAACAGUCUCAUGAUGUAAGGCUAAAUCAAUCCUCUUUGAGCGGGGAAGCAAGAACUACCAAUCCAACUCUCCUAAGAGUGGAGGAGGCGAGAGAACAGGAACGAGAAGUGGAGACCAUAGACCCUCCCAACAAAGAUAAGAGAACUCAUGGAGAGGGCCCUAUCAAAACUAGUAUAACCGACCUCCCCCAACCUGUUUCAUAUGUAAGGGGGCCCUUAGAGCGUACGAUUGCCCUAGUAAAGCAGCCCUUCAGGCAUUCAAGGCAACCUUGGAGACAAAAUCUGAACCUUAUUCUGGUACCCUUGAGAUAGGGACUACCCCAUCUGAGAGUAAUGACAGCCCUCAUAUGCAUGUCAUCAAGUUCGAUAGAGGGCUUAUGUAUGUCGAGGCGUGGGUUAACCACAAAGCCAGUUUUUCAACUGUCAAUUCGGCAACCUUACCCAUCCUAGGUGUAGCUAAGAGGGCCGUCAUUAAAUAGGGGACAUGGAGUCGUUAGAUCGACUUUAUGAUCGUCAAGAUCUAUGAUUUUGACAUGGUACCUAGAAUGGAAUUCUUAGUCGAACAUAAGAUCAUACCUAUGCCCUUGGCCAAAUGCUUAGUCAUCACGGGACCAAUCCCUCAGUUGUCCAAACAAAAAUCAAGCAACUUGAAGGGGUAAAGAUGAUAUCUAACGCUCCAACUCAAACGGUGCCUAACUCACAACAAGCCCAGCUUCAUACCCAUCCCCGUAAUCUAGGGGGAGAAUUCGUCGAAACCAAUACCCAGGGAGAUACACGAGGUAUUAGAAAGGUAUCACGGCAUCAUGCCGGAGAGCUUACCGACGACACUACCUCUGCGUAGAGGUAUAAAUCAUGAGAUCGAGUUGCUACCAAGGGUCAAGCCGCUAGCCAAGAAUGAUGGUAGCCUUGCGAAAUUGCAAAAAAAAGCUCGACUAACUACUCAGCGCAGGAUUCAUAAGACUGCAAAAGCAUCCUACAGAAUUCCAACACAUACCACUACCCAUCAUCACCCAAUUCCAAGACCAAAAAUGUAUUUUACCCGAACCCAAUAAUAAAUUA